rnacentral:rRNA from 1 species
CAGAGGUGGCAAGCGUUGUUCGGAAUUACUGGGCGUAAAGGGCGCGUAGGCGGUCUUGCAAGUCCUGUGUGAAAUCCCUCGGCUCAACUGAGGAACUGCACAGGAAACUGCUUGGCUUGAGUUCGGGAGAGGGAAGCGGAAUUCCGGGUGUAGCGGUGAAAUGCGUAGAUAUCCGGAGGAACACCGGUGGCGAAGGCGGCUUCCUGGACCGACACUGACGCUGAGGCGCGAAAGCUAGGGGAGCAAACGGG